GUAGUCAUAUGCUUGUCUCAAAGAUUAAGCCAUGCAUGUCUAAGUAUAAACACUUUUGUACUGUGAAACUGCGAAUGGCUCAUUAAAUCAGUUAUAGUUUAUUUGAUAGUACCUUACUACUUGGAUAACCGUGGUAAUUCUAGAGCUAAUACAUGCUAAAACAGUCCCGACUUCUGGAAGGGAUGUAUUUAUUAGAUAAAAAACCAAUACGGGUCACAAGCUCGUUCUUGUUGGUGAUUCAUAAUAACUUAGCGAAUCGCAUAAAAGCCCUCACGGGUGGCGAUGGUUCAUUCAAAUUUCUGCCCUAUCAACUUUCGAUGGUAGUGUAUUGGACUACCAUGGUGAUAACGGGUAACGGAGAAUUAGGGUUCGAUUCCGGAGAGGGAGCCUGAGAAACGGCUACCACAUCUACGGAAGGCAGCAGGAGCGAAAAUUGCCCAAUCCUGACACGGGGAGGCAGUGACAAGAAAUAACAACUCUAGGUUAUUCUUAGAAGUGUAAUGAGGAUAAUUUACAACCCUUACCGAAAGCAAUUGGAGGGCAAGUCUGGU
rnacentral:rRNA from 1 species